rnacentral:rRNA from 1 species
AGAGUUUGAUCCUGGCUCAGAUUGAACGCUGGCGGCAGGCUUAACACAUGCAAGUCGAACGCGUGUAGCAAUACACGAGUGGCGCACGGGUGAGUAACGCGUGGAUAUCUGCCUUCUGGUUCGGAAUAACCCCGGGAAACUGGGGCUAAUACCGAAUGGUUCCUACGGGAUAAAGAUUUAUCGCCAGAAGAUGAGUCCGC